rnacentral:rRNA from 1 species
AAACGACUCUCGGCAACGGAUAUCUCGGCUCUCGCAUCGAUGAAGAACGUAGCGAAAUGCGAUACUUGGUGUGAAUUGCAGAAUCCCGUGAACCAUCGAGUCUUUGAACGCAAGUUGCGCCCCAAGCCUUCUGGCCGAGGGCACGUCUGCCUGGGUGUCCCA